GACGAACGCUGGCGGCGUGCUUAACACAUGCAAGUCGAGCGGUAAGGCCCUUUCGGGGGUACACGAGCGGCGAACGGGUGAGUAACACGUGGGUGACCUGCCCUCAGCUCUGGGAUAAGCCUGGGAAACCGGGUCUAAUACCGGAUAUGACUCCAUGACGCAUGUUGUGGGGUGGAAAGCCUUGUGCGGCUGAGGAUGGGCCCGCGGCCUAUCAGCUUGUUGGUGGGGUGANGGCCUACCAAGGCGACGACGGGUAGCCGGCCUGAGAGGGCGACCGGCCACACUGGGACUGAGACACGGCCCAGACUCCUACGGGAGGCAGGCAGUGGGGAAUCUUGCGCAAUGGGCGAAAGCCUGACGCAGCGACGCCGCGUGAGGGAUGACGGCCU
rnacentral:rRNA from 1 species